rnacentral:lncRNA from 1 species
UUUUUCUUCCAGUAAGUCAUGUAGUCUAUUUAGUGUCUAAAAAAUACCUAGUUUAACUUAACAAUCACCUUCUAGAUGCACAUAUUCUCCUCAUAUACCACCAAAUACCACUCCUUUCUUGGACCUAUUUGUUGAUGUCCCUUCUCCUCUAUAAUAAUUCAAGCUCUAUCUAAACAACCUACACAAAGAUCUGAUCAUACACAUAAUAUGAUCACUUAUUUGAAAUCCAAAACAACUUCUCUUCAGG